rnacentral:rRNA from 1 species
GUGAAGAGGGCGAAGCUUGAUGAGCCAUGCCGCGUGUGUGAGAAGGUCUUCGGAUUGUAAGCACUUUAAGUUGGGAGGAAGGGCAGUAAGUUAAUACCUUGCUGUUUUGACGUUACCGACAGAAUAAGCACCGGCUAACUUCGUGCCAGCGGCCGCGGUAUACGGGAGCCAGCAGCCGCGG